GACGUAGGGCGCGAGCGUUGUCCGGAUUUAUUGGGCGUAAAGAGCUCGUAGGCGGCUUGUCGCGUCGUCCGUGAAAACCUGCGGCUCAACUGCAGGCUGGCGGUCGAUACGGGCAGGCUCGAGUUCGGUAGGGGAGACUGGAAUUCCUGGUGUAGCGGUGAAAUGCGCAGAUAUCAGGAGGAACACCGGUGGCGAAGGCGGGUCUCUGGGCCGAUACUGACGCUGAGGAGCGAAAGCGUGGGGAGCGAACAGG
rnacentral:rRNA from 1 species